UGUAACUUCCUCAGAAAAAGUGGAUAAAGAGAACAGAUACAGUGACUUUGUGAUAUUAUCUUUGCCUUAUCCAGGUUGUGAAUUUUUUGUCAAAUUCAGAGACAAUAAUUAUUCUGGAGAGAAACUGGUAUUUGAUUGGACACAAGAUUUUGUUAAUGCCCAACUCAUUGUGCCUAAUGAUGAUAUUGGUUCUCACUUAGAAAUUCCCUGGAAUGAUUACAGAGAAUGGGAUUUGGUUAUAUUGACAAAGAAUUAUUUGAAAUUACUCCUUAAAUAUAUUUUUGAAGGUAAGUAC